UACUUUUUACUAAUUUGCAAAUUGAUUUUGCAUUAAAAUGCUUGAAUGUUGCAUUUGAAAGUGAAUUUUUUAGGAUUUUUAAAUCCGGGAAUUUAACGAGAAACCGAGAUUUCUUAAUUAAUUUUGAGUGAAUUGAGACAAAUUAAUUUUAAAACUAUAAGUAUCAAUCUCGAUAACAAUGUGUCUGAUGAAAACGAAGAUCAUUCUGGUGACUUCUUGCUGUCUUGCACUUUUAAGUGUAAUCGUAGCUCAAGAUUUAAAACACAAGGAGUGCCGUAAUUUCGGCGAGUCGUGCAACAAACACAAGUUUUGCUGCUCGUUUGGUGUGUGCAUCAAUAGAAAUUGCGUGCACUGUUCAGAAAUCGGUCAGACUUGCAUGGAUCCUUCAACAUGCUGUUCACAAAAUUGCAAUUCCACGGGUGUCUGUGAUAGACUACCUGCUUAAAACAGUUCUAUUUGGCCGCCUGUAUUGAAAUAUCCACGAGGAAAUUCUCAUGAGAAAAAUAAAAA